CACGUAGGCACCAAGCGUUUGUCCGGAUUUAUUGGGCGUAAAGAGCUCGUAGGCGGUUCGGUAAGUCGGGUGUGAAAACUCUGGGCUCAACCCAGAGCCGCCACCCGAUACUGCUGUGACUUGAGUUCGGUAGGGGAGCGGGGAAUUCCUGGUGUAGCGGUGAAAUGCGUAGAGAUCAUGAGGAAGACCAGUGGCGAAGGCGGGUCUCUGGACAGUUCCUGACACUGAGACACGAAGGCCAGGGGAGCAAACGGG
rnacentral:rRNA from 1 species